rnacentral:rRNA from 1 species
AUUGAACGCUGGCGGCAGGCCUAACACAUGCAAGUCGAGCGGAUGAAGGGAGCUUGCUCCUGGAUUCAGCGGCGGACGGGUGAGUAAUGCCUAUGAAUCUGCCUGGUAGUGGGGGAUAACGACUGGAGACGGGCGCUAAUACCGCAUACGUCCUGCGGGAGAAAGUGGGGGAUCUUCGGACCUCACGCUAUCUGAUGAGCCUAGGUCGGAUUAGCUAGCUGGUGGGGUAAAGGCCUACCAAGGCGACGAUCCGUAACUGGUCUGAGAGGAUGAUCAGUCCCAUGAGAACUGAGACACGGUCCUGAGUCCUGCGGGAGGCAGCAGAGGAGUAUAUUGGACAAUGGGCGAAAACCUGAUCCAGUCAUGGCACGUGUGUGAAGAAGACCUUCGGAGUGUAAUGCACUUUAUGUUGGGAUGAAGGGCAGUAAGUUAAUACCUUGCUUUUUUGACGUUACCAAAUGAAUAAGCACCGGCUAACUACGUG